UACGUAGGCAGCGAGCGUUGUUCGGAGUUACUGGGCGUAAAGGGUGUGUAGGCGGUUUUUUAAGUCAGGUGUGAAAUCCCUGGGCUCAACCUAGGAAUUGCAUUUGAUACUGGAAAGCUUGAGUGUGGUAGAGGGUAGUGGAACUCCCGGUGUAGCGGUGAAAUGCGUAGAUAUCGGGAAGAACACCAGUGGCGAAGGCGGCUACCUGGACUAACACUGACACUGAGAUACGAAAGCGUGGGGGAGCAAACAGGG
rnacentral:rRNA from 1 species